UAAAACACAGAUAAAACAGCUCGGGCACAGA
rnacentral:piRNA from 1 species